GGCGUGCUUAACACAUGCAAGUCGAACGAUGAACCACUUCGGUGGGGAUUAGUGGCGAACGGGUGAGUAACACGUGGGCAAUCUGCCCUGCACUCUGGGACAAGCCCUGGAAACGGGGUCUAAUACCGGAUACUGACCCGCUUGGGCAUCCAAGCGGUUCGAAAGCUCCGGCGGUGCAGGAUGAGCCCGCGGCCUAUCAGCUUGUUGGUGAGGUAAUGGCUCACCAAGGCGACGACGGGUAGCCGGCCUGAGAGGGCGACCGGCCACACUGGGACUGAGACACGGCCCAGACUCCUACGGGAGGCAGCAGUGGGGAAUAUUGCACAAUGGGCGAAAGCCUGAUGCAGCGACGCCGCGUGAGGGAUGACGGCCUUCGGGUUGUAAACCUCUUUCAGCAGGGAAGAAGCGAAAGUGACGGUACCUGCAGAAGAAGCGCCGGCUAACUACGUGCCAGCAGCCGCGGUAAUACGUAGGGCGCGAGCGUUGUCCGGAAUUAUUGGGCGUAAAGAGCUCGUAGGCGGCUUGUCACGUCGGUUGUGAAAGCCCGGGGCUUAACCCCGGGUCUGCAGUCGAUACGGGCAGGCUAGAGUUCGGUAGGGGAGAUCGGAAUUCCUGGUGUAGCGGUGAAAUGCGCAGAUAUCAGGAGGAACACCGGUGGCGAAGGCGGAUCUCUGGGCCGAUACUGACGCUGAGGAGCGAAAGCGUGGGGAGCGAACAGGAUUAGAUACCCUGGUAGUCCACGCCGUAAACGGUGGGCACUAGGUGUGGGCGACAUUCCACGUCGUCCGUGCCGCAGCUAACGCAUUAAGUGCCCCGCCU
rnacentral:rRNA from 1 species